rnacentral:lncRNA from 1 species
UGUCCAUGGACAUCUCUGAAGAUUUUCACUUAGAAAUCUAGAGCAGUCCUUCCAUGGGGAGAACUACCUCCCCAGGAUGGAGGCUGACCUACUCCAUGUGGACAUCCGUCCUCUUCUCACAGCAUUCCGGCUUGUCUGUUUAUGGGAAUUCCUUUAAGAUUUCAGCAGAAAGCAUGGUGGCUUGGUUUGAAAUACAUCUGUACAAAAACAAAACAAGCAGCAACAAUAACGAUAGCAAACUGAGAUCUGGAUAAUGGAAGAAGCCAGCCACACAAAGAGGCAAGGGAAGAACAUUUCAUUUCGCAGAAAGAGUGUCCCCCACCUCUCUCCUUUUGGGUGUGCCAGAGAAGCCUGCAAUCCCACUGCUUCUAACAGCCUUCUUGUGACUGAGGUAAGAUAGUCUUUGGGGAGAAGCAGAUCAUAGAUAUGGCAGAAAAGGGAGAGAAAAUGGGUCUUGGUAAACCA